rnacentral:rRNA from 1 species
AGAGUUUGAUCAUGGCUCAGGACGAACGCUGACGGUGUGCUUUAGGCAUGCAAGUCGAACGAGAAAGCCCUUCGGGGUGAGUAGAGUGGCGAACGGGUGAGUAACACGUGGGCAACCUGCCCCUCGCAGGGGGAUAACCGGAGGAAACUCCGGCUAAUACCCCGUAAGCUUUCAGAGUCGCAUGGCUCUGUAAGGAAAGGUAGCUUCGGCUAUCCGGCGAGGGAUGGGCCCGCGGUGCAUUAGCUAGUUGGUGGGGUAAUGGCCCACCAAGGCGACGAUGCGUAGCUGGUCUGAGAGGAUGAUCAGCCACACUGGGACUGAGACACGGCCCAGACUCCUACGGGAGGCAGCAGCCAGGAAUCUUGGGCAAUGGGCGCAAGCCUGACCCAGCAACACCGUGUGGGCGAUGAAGGCCUUCGGGUCGUAAGGCCCUGUUGAUAGGGACGAAGGGCGAAGGGUUAAUAGCCCCUAGCCUGACGGUACCUUUCGAGGAAGCCCCGGCUAACUACGUGCUAGCAGCCGCGGUAAAC